rnacentral:rRNA from 1 species
UACGUAGGGUGCAAGCGUUAAUCGGAAUUACUGGGCGUAAAGCGUGCGCAGGCGGUUCGCUAAGACCGAUGUGAAAUCCCCGGGCUUAACCUGGGAACUGCAUUGGUGACUGGCGGGCUAGAGUAUGGCAGAGGGGGGUAGAAUUCCACGUGUAGCAGUGAAAUGCGUAGAGAUGUGGAGGAAUACCGAUGGCGAAGGCAGCCCCCUGGGCCAAUACUGACGCUCAUGCACGAAAGCGUGGGGAGCGAACAGG